rnacentral:tRNA from 1 species
GGCCCCGUAGCAUAGCCUGGAUAGUGCGGCCGGCUUCGGACCGGCUGGCCCGGGUUCGAAUCCCGGCGGGGUCA